GACGAACGCUGGCGGCGUGCUUAACACAUGCAAGUCGAACGGUAAGGCCCUUCGGGGUACACGAGUGGCGAACGGGUGAGUAACACGUGGGUGAUCUGCCCUGCACUUCGGGAUAAGCCUGGGAAACUGGGUCUAAUACCGGAUAGGACCACUGCCUGCAUGGGUGGUGGUGGAAAGCUUUUGCGGUGUGGGAUGGGCCCGCGGCCUAUCAGCUUGUUGGUGGGGUGAUGGCCUACCAAGGCGACGACGGGUAGCCGGCCUGAGAGGGUGACCGGCCACACUGGGACUGAGAUACGGCCCAGACUCCUACGGGAGGCAGCAGUGGGGAAUAUUGCACAAUGGGCGCAAGCCUGAUGCAGUGACGCCGCGUGAGGGAUGACGGCCUUCGGGUUGUAAACCUCUUUCAGCACCGACGAAGCGCAAGUGACGGUAGGUGCAGAAGAAGGACCGGCCAACUACGUGCCAGCCGCCGCCGCAG
rnacentral:rRNA from 1 species